GAUGAACGCUGGCGGCGUGCCUAAUACAUGCAAGUCGAGCGAACGGACGAGAAGCUUGCUUCUCUGAUGUUAGCGGCGGACGGGUGAGUAACACGUGGAUAACCUACCUAUAAGACUGGGAUAACUUCGGGAAACCGUAGCUAAUACCGGAUAAUAUUUUGAACCGCAUGGUUCAAAAGUGAAAGACGGUCUUGCUGUCACUUAUAGAUGGAUCCGCGCUGCAUUAGCUAGUUGGUAAGGUAACGGCUUACCAAGGCAACGAUGCAUAGCAGACCUGAGAGGGUGAUCGGCCACACUGGAGGUGAGCCACGGUCCAGACGCCUACGGGAGGCAGCAGUAGGGAAUCUUCCGCAAUGGGCGAAAGCAUGACGGAGCAACGCCACGUGAGUGAUGGAGGUCUUCGGAUCGGAAAACUCUGUUAUUAGGGAAGAACAUAUGUGUAAGUAACUGUGCACAUCUUGACGGUACCUAAUCAGAAAGCCACGGCUAACUACGUG
rnacentral:rRNA from 1 species